CACACACACACACACACACACACACACACACAUAUCUGUACAUAUGAGGGACCAGGAAACUAUGCUGGUCCUAUGGAGGACAUUUGUCCUCAGCCGUCUGGACUACUGCUCUCAACUAUGGUCACCCUACACUGUAGGAUUAAUAACAGAACUUGAG